UGCCUUUAUGUGUUGCCCUUUCAGUGUUCCCAUCGUGAACAGGGUGUCAACUAAGGCAUACAGAGACUCUUGUGGUUCCUUUAGGAGGCGUCACCUGUGAUUCCUCUGACAGGAGCAACCGCAAGGACACGU
rnacentral:snoRNA from 14 species